ACUACAAAGCAAUGUUUCAGCCCUAACAGGGCUUUUUUCAAACUUGAAAAAAGCCCUGUUAGGGCUGAAACGUUGCUUUGUAGUUC